GGGUUAUUCAAUUUUGAAAAAAAAAGAUGACUGAGGGAAGAUCUAAUAACCAUGUGUAAAUAUAUAAGGGGUCAGUACAGAGAUCUCUCCUAUUAUCUAUUUAUACCCAAGACUGUGACUGUAAUGAGGGGACAUCCUCUGCGUCUAGAGAAAAGAAAGUUUGUACACAAACAUAGAAGAAGAUUCUUUACUAUAAGAGCAGUGGGACCAUGGCA